rnacentral:lncRNA from 1 species
GCCUUGAAUAAUUCCCCACCGCAACGGGCGAAAAACAUUCGUUAAAAAAUGACGGAACCCUAAAGAUCCAAAAGUGAACCCGAAAAAAGAAUGAAAAGCGAGCCCAAAAGAAGAGAGAAAAAAUAUGUAGAGAGAGAGAGGGCUUGUUGGCCAGCCAAAACGUGUAGGAGAAGAAACCAAAGGUGGUAUUUCAUUCUAAAAACCGCGUUGAAGAGAGAGAAAGAGAGGUUUUUUUCACCAUAAAACCCCCAACAAACGCAGACCUCAUUUGUCUCGAAUCGAAGAGAGAGAUGGGGAGAAAAUGGUUCAGGAUCUCAAAGGAGUGGGCGUCGCCAUGGAAGCUGAGCCCAACGGGCGGCAAGAGAAAGAAACAGAGAGAGUUCCAGUGGUCUUAUCUCUUCCACUUAGGCAUCAUCGACGACUUCGUCUUCAAGAUCGUCGCCAUAUUCGAGUCCAUCGUCCUCAUCGCCAUCCUCUGUUUCUUUUUCCUCUGCUGUGGCUGCAACAUCUGAUCAACUCUACUUCAGACUCUCUCUCUCUCUCUCUCUCUCUCUCUCUACUUACUACGUACGUACGGUACGGCGUACGUACGUACUACGUCGUCGUCGUUCCGUUCCGUUCGUUCCGUUUCGUUUACGUUACGUUACGNNNNNNNNNNNNNNNNNNNNNNNNNNNNNNNNNNNNNNNNNNNNNNNNNNNNNNGACUAUUCGUACGUCCGUACUCGUCCGUCCUACUCGUCCACUCCUCCUCGUUUCGUUUUUUCCUUUCCUUCGCUCGUGGCGUGCAACAAUACUGAUCAACUACUACUUCUAGACUCUCUCUCUCUCUCUCUCUCUCUCUCUCUAAAUUUCCACGGCAGGGGCCGAUGAAAUCUCGCUGCUUUUCGGCCCCGUGUUUUCUUGUGAUUCGGGUAUUUUUGUUCAGGAGAGGGGAAAGUGACAGAGAGAUGGGAAAGGGUAUUUUUUGUUCAUUUUUCAUGGAUAUUGUUUUCAUUAGUUGUAAAUAGUCCGUGUAAUGUUUUUUUGGUAAUAAAUCUAACAAAAACGUCGUAUUGUUUGACGAUUGAUUGAUUCUGGUUAAGG